AUACGGAGGGGGUUAGCGUUGUUCGGAAUUACUGGGCGUAAAGCGCACGUAGGCGGACUGGGAAGUUGGGGGUGAAAUCCCGGGGCUCAACCCCGGAACUGCCUCCAAAACUUCCAAUCUAGAGAUCGAGAGAGGUAAGUGGAAUUCCUAGUGUAGAGGUGAAAUUCGUAGAUAUUAGGAGGAACACCAGUGGCGAAGGCGGCUUACUGGCUCGAUACUGACGCUGAGGUGCGAAAGCGUGGGGAGCAAACAGGAUUAGAUACCCUAGUAGUCC
rnacentral:rRNA from 1 species